rnacentral:rRNA from 1 species
ACGCUGUCGGCGUGCUUAACACAUGCAAGUCGAACGGAAAGGCCCUGCUUUUGUGGGGUGCUCGAGUGGCGAACGGGUGAGUAACACGUGAGUAACCUGCCCUUGACUUUGGGAUAACUUCAGGAAACUGGGGCUAAUACCGGAUAGGAGCUCCUGCUGCAUGGUGGGGGUUGGAAAGUUUCGGCGGUUGGGGACGGACUCGCGGCUUAUCAGCUUGUUGGUGGGGUAGUGGCUUACCAAGGCUUUGACGGGUAGCCGGCCUGAGAGGGUGACCGGCCACAUUGGGACUGAGAUACGGCCCAGACUCCUACGGGAGGCAGCAGUGGGGAAUAUUGCACAAUGGGCGGAAGCCUGAUGCAGCAACGCCGCGUGCGGGAUGACGGCCUUCGGGUUGUAAACCGCUUUCGCCUGUGACGAAGCGUGAGUGACGGUAAUGGGUAAAGAAGCACCGGCUAACUACGUGCCAGCAGCCGCGGUGAUACGUAGGGUGCGAGCGUUGUCCGGAUUUAUUGGGCGUAAAGGGCUCGUAGGUGGUUGAUCGCGUCGGAAGUGUAAUCUUGGGGCUUAACCCUGAGCGUGCUUUCGAUACGGGUUGACUUGAGGAAGGUAGGGGAGAAUGGAAUUCCUGGUGGAGCGGUGGAAUGCGCAGAUAUCAGGAGGAACACCAGUGGCGAAGGCGGUUCUCUGGGCCUUUCCUGACGCUGAGGAGCGAAAGCGUGGGGAGCGAACAGGCUUAGAUACCCUGGUAGUCCACGCUGUAAACGGUGGGUACUAGGUGUGGGGUCCAUUCCACGGGUUCCGUGCCGUAGCUAACGCUUUAAGUACCCCGCCUGGGGAGUACGGCCGCAAGGCUAAAACUCAAAGGAAUUGACGGGGCCCCGCACAAGCGGCGGAGCAUGCGGAUUAAUUCGAUGCAACGCGUAGAACCUUACCUGGGUUUGACAUGGAUCGGGAGUGCUCAGAGAUGGGUGUGCCUCUUUUGGGGUCGGUUCACAGGUGGUGCAUGGCUGUCGUCAGCUCGUGUCGUGAGAUGUUGGGUUAAGUCCCGCAACGAGCGCAACCCUUGUUCACUGUUGCCAGCACGUUAUGGUGGGGACUCAGUGGAGACCGCCGGGGUCAACUCGGAGGAAGGUGGGGAUGACGUCAAGUCAUCAUGCCCCUUAUGUCCAGGGCUUCACGCAUGCUACAAUGGCUGGUACAGAGAGUGGCGAGCCUGUGAGGGUGAGCGAAUCUCGGAAAGCCGGUCUCAGUUCGGAUUGGGGUCUGCAACUCGACCUCAUGAAGUCGGAGUCGCUAGUAAUCGCAGAUCAGCAACGCUGCGGUGAAUACGUUCCCGGGGCUUGUACACACCGCCCGUCAAGUCAUGAAAGUUGGUAACACCCGAAGCCGGUGGCCUAACCGUUGUGGGGGAGCCGUCGAAGGUGGGACUGGUG